GACGUAGGGCGCGAGCGUUGUCCGGAUUGAUUGGGCGUAGAGAGCUCGUAGGCGGCCCGUUGCGUCGGCUGUGAAAACCCGCAGCUCAACUGUGGGCCUGCAGCUGAUACGGGCGGGCUGGAGUUCGGUAGGGGAGACUGGAAUUCCUGGUGUAGCGGUGAAAUGCGCAGAUAUCAGGAGGAACACCGGUGGCGAAGGCGGGUCUCUGGGCCACUACUGACGCUGAGAAGCGAAAGCAUGGGGAGCGAACAGG
rnacentral:rRNA from 1 species